rnacentral:rRNA from 1 species
UACGAAGGGGGCUAGCGUUGUUCGGAUUUACUGGGCGUAAAGCGCACGUAGGCGGAUCGAUCAGUCAGGGGUGAAAUCCCAGGGCUCAACCCUGGAACUGCCUUUGAUACUGGCGACCUUGAGUCCGGGAGAGGUGAGUGGAACUGCGAGUGUAGAGGUGAAAUUCGUAGAUAUUCGCAAGAACACCAGUGGCGAAGGCGGCUCACUGGCCCGGUACUGACGCUGAGGUGCGAAAGCGUGGGGAGCAAACAGG